rnacentral:pre_miRNA from 1 species
AAUAAACCAAUUCCUACGUUUUUGGAUUGAAUUUUUGACUCUUCGUCUUAUUUGAAAUUUUUUAUUAAUAUUUUUAUUGUUAUUACAUGAUAAAACAUAAAUAGUACUUUGCAUGUGACUAUUUUUUUUUCAAUUUUUUAAUAAAUUCUUUAAAUAAGACGGAUGGUCAAACGCUCAAAACCCAGAAUC